AGCUCCAAUAGCGUAUAUUAAAGUUGCUGCAGUUAAAAAGCUCGUAGUUGGAUUUGUGGCGCGGCCGUCCGGCGGGGGUCCUUCUAUGGUCUCGUUUGUCCUGGUUUUCGGCCGCUCCUUUCUCGGGUAGAGCGUAAUGGCUGGCAUUAGGUUGUCGGCCGCUUCGCGCCCGUCGUUUACUGUGAAAAAAUUAGAGUGUUCAAAGCAGGCUUAGGCCGUUGGAUACAUUAGCAUGGAAUAACAUGAUAGGACUCCGAUCCCAUUGUGUUGGUCUUCGGGACUGGAGUAAUGAUUAAGAGGGACAGUUGGGGGCAUUCGUAUUUCAUUGUCAGAGGUGAAAUUCUUGGAUUUAUGAAAGACGAACUUCUGCGAAAGCAUUUGCCAAGGAUGUUUUCAUUAA
rnacentral:rRNA from 1 species